UCAGCAUUUAGACAUGAAUCUAAGCUUCAAUGUAAGACAGCCAUUUGACAGUAUGCACUAGCCUUAAUCAGUUUUAAUUCAUGAAUGCAACAAUACAAUCCAUCACACAUUCAUUUAUAACUUAGGCUAAGCAUUACUAUCAUCACUUAUCAUCAGGCAAUGCAUUACUUUCAAUCUGUUUUCAGUUCAUGAGCUUCAAACAAUAUAAUUUCACAUUUAGCAAACUCAUUACUUAACAGGAGCAAGCAUUUUACUCUUUAAACACUAAACAAGCCUUUAAAGCAUCCUGGGACAGAUUCAACUAAUUAUAUUUAGCAAUCACAUUAUCCUCAGGUUUAACAAUCAAUACACAUCACAAUAACCAGGCAAUAACACAACACAAGCUCAUUAUCAAGAAGGUUUUAAAGAAUCGCUUACACAAGGAACCAGGUUGGUUCCUUAAGCCUCCAAAGGCAAUCUGGCCAUGAUAUGGUUGGAUUCAAGAGUCUGGAUCGUCACCCACCUCCUUCUCCUUCAGUCCACGGCCUCCUUCUUGUUUCUCACACCCAAAGACCCCUCCUUUCUUCAUACUUCAAACCGGCUUCUCUUAGCUUCAUCUUUCUUGUAUCCGGAUGUGAUAAGCUCUUGGACAAGGAGCUUUGGCUUGAGGUUCAUGACGCCUCUCCAUCCUCCUUUGCUUCCAAUGAGACUCUCCAUCAGGUAAAGACAGGCACGGUUGAGAGAUAAGGAGAACACUCCACGCUUCAAGCUUCUUUCUUCUUCAAGAACUGAACUAGACUGGUAAUGUCUUCAAGGGUUUGAUUUG
rnacentral:lncRNA from 1 species